rnacentral:rRNA from 1 species
GACGGGGGGAUGCAAGUGUUAUCCGGAAUAAUUGGGCGUAAAGCGUCUGUAGGUGGUUUAUCAAGUCUGUUGUUAAAAAUCAGGGCUUAACCCUGAUCCGGCAACAGAAACUAGUAGGCUGGAGUACGGUAGGGGCAGAGGGAAUUCUCGGUGUAGUGGUGAAAUACGUAGAUAUCGAGAAGAACACCAAUAGCGAAAGCACUCUGCUGGGCCGAAACUGACAUGAGAGACGAAAGCUAGGGGAGCGAAAGGG